ensembl:snRNA U6 U6 spliceosomal RNA
GUGGUCACUAUGGCAGCACGUAUACCAAAAUUGGAAUGAUACGGAAAAGAUUAGCAUGGCCCCUGCGCAAGGAUGACAGUUUUUUUUCUUCUUUUUUUUU